rnacentral:rRNA from 1 species
GGAGUUAGCCGGUGCUUCUUCUGUGAGUGAUGUCCUUCCUGCCGGCUAUUAACCCGCAGGCCUUCUUCCUCACUGAAAGUGCUUUACAACCCGAAGGCCUUCUUCACACACGCGGCAUGGCUGGAUCAGGGUUGCCCCCAUUGUCCAAUAUUCCCCACUGCUGCCUCCCGUAGGAGUCUGGGCCGUGUCUCAGUCCCAGUGUGGCUGAUCAUCCUCUCAGACCAGCUACGGAUCGUCGCCUUGGUGAGCCGUUACCUCACCAACCAGCUAAUCCGACAUAGGCUCAUCCGAUAGCGCGAGGCCCGAAGGUCCCCCGCUUUCCCCCGUAGGGCGUAUGCGGUAUUAGCCUGGGUUUCCCCAGGUUAUCCCCCACUACCGGGGCAGAUUCCUAUGCAUUACUCACCCGUCCGCCGCUCGCCACCAGGGAGCAAGCUCCCCGUGCUGCCGCUCGACUUGCAUGUGUAGCUGCCGCCAGCGUCAUCUGAGCGAGAUACAACUACUGA